UGGCAAACCAAGGAGCAGAGGUGUUUGAAUUCAAGAGCCUUGAGAAUUUCAUUUUACUGCAUCCCACCUCCCCUCUGGUCCACUGAAGCUGGAGCUGGAACUGGAGGUGGGUCAGGUGAGUGGUUACCUGAAGUGAACAGAUGUAGGAAGAACCAGAGAGUAGGGGCAUGUCACAAAUGACAGCAUGAGAUCGUCAAAGUUAGGGAAGCCCGAGAGGGUUCCUGAGUCCAAAGGACAAGUGUGGAGUUAGACCUGAGAGAUAAGACAAAACAGAGCAAAUGCUGGGAAGAUCCCAAGACAAGACAGUUAAGAGGAUCAGAGCAGAGUGAAGGAAGAGAGUGCAAAACCAUUGUCUCAAAAGCUCCACCACUCCUUGCCGGGGGAAGCUUAACCCUGGUUGAAAGUGUACUGAAGGGGUGGAGCUACUCAGUACUCACCAGCUCUUGGAACCUCCCUGUGAGAAGAUUUCCCGUGUUUGCAGCUAGCUCACACAGCAAGGUCUUUCCAGAAAAGAUGUCCCAGAUGCCAAAGCUGACACAUCAGAAAGAUCAUCAUUUGAAGGGCUGCUUCCCACUGGGAAAAAGCAUGAUUUGGGUGAGUGGUCUUUUCCACCAGAGUCCAAAUUCUCUAGGACUUUGGCCAUCUCAGAAUAGGGUCGCCUUAUAAAUUUUUGCCAAUACGGUAAUUCUAAUAUAGUCAUUUUCAAAGUGGAGAGACUUCAAUGAAAGAAUUCUCCUGAUGGAUGCAAAUUGCUUCCCAAACAUGUGAGUCUUUUCUUCUCUUCUCCUGAGUAAAUGCCACGCAAUCCUCCAACUGUCAUUUACAGAGAACUAAUCGCUUCUUACUAGUAACUUAUUAAGUGAAUCACUAAGGAUGACUGAAUUUGGAAUUUGUGUGUGACCAGAAUAUUUUUAGUCAGUGUUCUAUCCCAGAUUCUGUCAUCCAUGCAACAAGUGGCCCCUUGCAAAGCUCUGGCUGUGCGGGCACGCUGUAGAUGGCCAGAAUGCCCGUGCUUGGGAGGAAGCAAGUUUUGUUAUCUCUUUUAUCAGUUGCUGCUACUGUGUUACCCAUGUGGUUGGUUUGAGAUGAUCUGAUCUUCUCAACAAUGUUUACAUCAGUAUUUGGUCCUGUAAUUUUCUAAUGACAGAUUGAAAGAUAUGUGAACAUCGUGGUUCAAAUAGGAAUGAUCAUUACCCCAACCGCAGAAGCAAAUGUUUACAUAAUGCCACCCCCUCCCCCCAAAAACAAGCUGCUUGUACAUUGACACUUCAUUAUUAUAAACAAGUCUCAUCUUUCUUCCAUUGGAAAGUGUAAAAGAAUAGACGGAUAACGAGGUCCCCACCUAAGCGAGUUGUAAAAAAAGUUUGGGGGUUAUUGUUUUUCUCAGGGAAGAUUUUUUAAAUGCAAUUUUAUUUUUUAAAUGUUAUAAAUUUCUAUGAUUCAAAAGUCAAAAUAAUAUUGAAAGUAUAAUUGAGAAGUUUCACUCUCUCUGCUACCCGAGUCUCCUUGGAUUUUCCACUCCACCCCACAGAAGUCACCACUUUCUUAGUUCCCUGUAUAUCUGCCUAGCUUUUUUGGGGGGCGGGGGAGGAGGAAGAUUGGCCCUGAGCUAACAUCUGUGCCAAUCUUCCUCUAUUUUUUGCAUGUGGGAUGCCACCUCAGCACGGCUUGAUGAGUGGUGUGAAAUUCGGCACCCAGGGUCUGAACAUGCGAACCCCGGGCUGCAAAAGUAGAGUGCGAACUUAACCACUAUGCCACUGGUCCAGCUCCACCUAGCACGGUUUUUAUGCAAAUAGAGGUAGUCGUGUUUUCCUCUAAAAGGGAGAGAUAAAUAUUCCACUAAUGCACAAAGCUCCCCUGAGCCCACAUUAGGAGGUAAAGUGAAUAAGGUAGAUAAGUUCAGAGGUGACCCUAGAAGACAGAAAUAAUCUCUGAAGUCUAUCUUCCUAUGACUGUCAGCAGCACCGGCCUUUUUUUACAUACCUGGCUCUUGGGAAAAUAAUGGAAUAGAGUGUUUUCUCCUGACUCCCUGGCUCUGCUUUCAUAUUCUGCAUCAUCCCUUGUCAACAAUACCAUAAAAGUCCCCGACAAAGAUCCAUCUUUUGUUCUACACCCCACACCCACCUCCAAUAAACAUAUCAGUCCCUGUGGGGACGGGUAAAUGGAUUCCAAUGUACACAGUAUUCAAGGACGAAAUGUCUGGCUCAUUCAAAUCAAGGUUUCCUCCAACUGGAAGCAGUCCUUCAAAAUGAGUCUGAUGGGGAAACUUGAUACUGGAGGAUGUCCCAAACAUGCAAUAGUCUACGGAUUUAUGGAGGGCUUAUUAUGUGCCAGGUGUUGUGGCAGAUGCCAGGUGGAAGGGCAAGUAGGACACAGGUCCCACCCUCCCGGACCUCAGAGGCUCAGGAGGAGAGUUACAGGGCAUUGUAAUAAGAGUCACGAGGAAGGGCCCUAACCAGGGUGGAGAGCUCAGGGAAGGUGUCUCAGGAGAGGCCUCAUCAAAGCUGAGACAAGAGGGGUAAGGAGGACUCAGUCAGGCAGUGAGUGGGGAUUUGAGGCAGCAUUAUGUGCAACGGCCUUGGGAUGAGCAAGCCAUGGCUCUUUCCUCCUCUCCUACGACUUCCUUUCCAAGUGGGACCUGGUGGAGAUCAUUCUGGUAAGCAGUGAUUUGAAUGCAGUGCAGGGGCAGUAGGAGUUGGAGGCGCUCAGGAGCGAGUGGAAGUGUGGAGUCCCUCACAUCACAACACAUGGACGUGUGCCUGCUCAAGGUCUGUGCAAGGUCGGGGGCGGGGGGCACCAGGGAAGAGUCGAGAAACUAAACGCCUUCUCUCCCUAGGACCCCCAAGCUUAUUCCAGGCACACUGCAUACAUUGCUUGGAAACCUCAGAAAAUAUCAUGGCAAUGGGAGCUUCGAGGGAAAGGUCUCGAAAUGUCAAUGAGUCAGAAGCACAUAUGACUCUUGGAGUUGGAGAAAAUAUGAUUUUUGAAGUAAAAAAGGCAAAACCACAAACCACAUCAACAACAAUAACAACAAGGAAUGUGUCCCAAGGAGGCCCCACUGGGCAGUACAAAUGCUUCCAUUAAUGAGGUCGGGAAAGGGAGGCCUCACAAAAAAUUCUGUCCCACUCUGAAUAGCCAGCUGACCCUUUCCCACAGGACACUGACCACAAGCAAAGCAAAAGCAACUGGCAUUCUUGACGAACUUCUUGAGAAGAAGACUCACUGGGCCCUGAAGAAAGUGCUGCCCAAGCCCCUCUUGUUUCUCUGAAGUGAACCUUGUGGGGAGGGAGGGGCAGACACUCAACACUCCAGGGACAGGGGUUCAAGUCCCAGCUCAGCCACUUCACCAUGGGGAAACCUCAAGCUAGUCAUGCACUGGCUCUGAGUCAUGGUAUCCCAGUGACCAUGAAUAUGUAUGAUAAUCCUUCCUUCUUAAAGUCAUUGUGAGGGUCCACGGCGUUGUAAACCACCAGAAAACCUACAAAUGCUACUUGUAAGUGAAGGGAGGGUGUGCAUAAACCGUAAUCACCACCCCGAAAGGCAGGAACAAGGAUCUCAACCGGUCCCCUCUGCCGUGGCACACAGCAUCUAGGAGGCCUGCAGCACAGCUUGUCUUUGGACAGAAAGAGCUCAGUCUUGGGUGAGUUCGGGAGAAGCACAUGCAGGGCCAGAUGCAGCUGUGACAGGUUUCCGCAUAUCUCAUCAGAUAGCCUUCUUUCUCUCAUCUUCUCUGCGUCUCCCCUCCUCAGCUCCCUGGGGUCCCUGUGCCUGGAACCUGGCUAGGAGCCUCUCGUGGGGGUCUCUCCCUACCUACAGGGUGGAGGAAGGCCCCCAGGUUUAGGACUUUCAGAGACUUCAGAGGGCAGCACCCAUGACACCCACCUUUCUCCGGCUCCCUUGACUGCCUUUGGCAGUGUCGUUUCAGCGUGCGAUUGUGCUAAAAGACUUCUGUCCCAUGAGGAAGAAACGAGAUGGAUGAGGCAGGUGGAAAGCCUGUCUCGCUGUAUGAGAAAAAUCAUGGUAGAAGAGGGCAUGAAAAGAAGGCAAAAUAAGGACAUGGAAAAUUCCUGAUAAAGACUGCGCGAAGCCUGAAGACGCGAUCACCUUCUUUCACAGUCAUUCCCAAUCCUUUGACACGUGCUGCUGUGGGGCCUGAGGCACUCGCAGCAGAGCCUGAAGGUUUUAGGGCUGAAACAAAAUGCAGUGGCCAAGGAAAACUCUUCUCGGAUUCUACCGCCUCUCUACGCACGCAUCACCUCUCACACCUCACACCACAGCCCCGAGGAGACCGAGGAGCACCCGAGCCACACACCCGAACUUCUUGUUGCUUGAAAGCAUUGAGCCUGGCUUCCUCCCCAAUUCAAACUGCAUGAUCUGACCUACAACUACGAGUGCUUGUCCUCGGUACUGACAAAGGAUGGGUGGUAGGCACAGGGACUCCAGAAACGGAGAAACAGGUAUGAAAGUGGAGCGCUUGUCCUUCCUGCAGGAUGGGGGAGUGGCUAAAAGUUUGGAUUCUGGAGUCAGACUGAGAAGGUCCAAAUUCCACCUCCUCUGCUUCUUGUCGGGGUGACCUGCUUUCUCAACCACCUGAGCCCUCCGAUCCGUCUCUGUCAGUGGGAUAAGCAGACUUUGUGUGCUUCUUCAGGUGAUGCAACGUAAAAUACACAGCGCCAACUCCCACACAUUUUUGCCUUAAAAAUAAAAAUUGGCCCUGAAACUAAUCAGGUCUCUAGCUCUCUUACCAAGUCACAGGAAAUACAGGGGACUGAGGAACAAAUUAAGCAACACUACGAAGAAGCAAGCAGCGGAGCCCCGAACGUGGAACAUUCUGUAAGAUAAACGACCUGGUGUCUUCAACAAGUCAACAGCAUGGAAAAGGGAAAAAAUGAGGAGUGGGAACUGUUAAGGAAUAAAAGAGACCUAAAAGAGAGAGAUGCCUUAAAAACAGCCCUAAAGAGACAUCUGUGAGAGAAUGAACCUAAUAGUAAGGAAUAGCUGUUCAUUUUGUGAGGUUGGAUAAGGGCGUGGUGGUUAUAUUCCAAAAAGUCCUUACCGAUUACAGGUGCACACUGAAGUAUUUGUGGUGAAAGGAUGUGUGUCUGAGAUUCAUAGGGUCAGGGAGGAAUAUUAAAAUAGUUGGAGCUGGACGAUGAGUGCCUGUGUUUUCAUUAUAUUCCUCUGUCUAUAUCGUGUAUUUUUGAAAUUUUUUAUAAUAAAAAGUUUUGAUAUGGUCACAAA
ensembl:lncRNA